rnacentral:rRNA from 1 species
UACGGAGGAUCCAAGCGUUAUCCGGAUUUAUUGGGUUUAAAGGGUGCGUAGGCGGCCUGUUAAGUCAGGGGUGAAAGACGGUAGCUCAACUAUCGCAGUGCCCUUGAUACUGAUGGGCUUGAAUGGACUAGAGGUAGGCGGAAUGAGACAAGUAGCGGUGAAAUGCAUAGAUAUGUCUCAGAACACCGAUUGCGAAGGCAGCUUACUAUGGUCUUGAUGACGCUGAGGCACGAAAGCGUGGGGAUCAAACAGG